CAACACCAACACAGAAAAAAAUUCAUGUUGUGUAUAUUUUUAUUCCCUGCUGCCUACACAGUGCAUGUAUGUAAACUACAGUAUAAAAUUGGGGUGUUUAUGUGAGUCUUGUAUAUAGUAUUUUCGCAAGGAGGGUUUUGAAAAUAGUGUUGGACCAUGGUUGAGGCCUAGGAACAUGUUUCUACUCACAGCAUAAGCAAUUCCCAGCUAUCAUGUAAAAGCAUUUUUACAGUUUACAUACAGUUGAUAGUAACUUGACACUGUAAAUAUAUGUAGCAAAUUUUCACACGCAACAUAUUCAUAAAAACGUUAUUAAAUGUUUUAAUCCUUUAUUGGUAUCUUUUAACAUAAAGAAAAAGAAAGUAAAUUCUUCCACAGUAUGAAAACUACAAAAUCAUUGGGCUAAAUUGCAGAAUACCCGUCCACUUUUGAAGGUAUCCCUUGUUAUCAUGAUACGAUGAUACGAAGUGAAAAUGAUUACGUAAUAACUAUAUGACC